CAAGGCUUGUAAUCAGGUUGGGCUAACAAGAAGAAUUGGUUUUUCUGGAAUGCAAAAUCCUUGAGUCAAGAGAGCUCUCAUAAUAUUCAUCAUUUAAGCACAACUCUCUUCCUCACCAAUCUCACUCAUUCCCAACUUCUUUCCCUUUUCUUUUUCAUUGAGCUCAUCUUCAUGCUUUUUUUCUUAUUUUUCUUUUUCUCAUGCAUCUUUCUUUUUCAACAUUUAAGCUCAAUGCUUCUUAACAGCUUUUCAAUUUCCCCAUGCAUCCCCAAACUUGAACCUUUUCAUCACAUACAGUUAAGCUCAUCCCAACUCAAGGUAAAGAAUUUCAAGACAAGGGUUCACAUCCUGUUUAAGGCUAAGGUUCAAAAAGGGUAUAAUAUUUUAAGCUCUGUGGGUGAAAAUUUGGCUAGAGAAAGGUUUUCAAAAAUGGCCUUGAUCAUAUGACAUUCACAUGCAAUUCAAUCAAUCAUCAAGAUUAAAGCAAUAUCAUUAAUGCUUUCCUGUGAACAAUUCAUAUAAUCAUAAAAACUCUGGAGCUCAAAACCUCACACAACAUGCUUUCUCACACAACAUUCAUUCAUACUUCUUGCUUAGCAUCAUAACCACAAUCAUAAUUCAUCACACAUUUGUUUCAUUGGCUUUCAACAUGCAACACUACUCAAUUAUUAAUCACCUCAAAUUAUCAUCAAAUAAGUUCAUCAUGCAAAUUAGUCAGUCAAACAUCUUCAGAAAAGUAUUUAGGCCAAGCAUACACAAUGAAAAAUAAAAUUCAACCUAUUCUAAAAAUUUAAAAUGCAAAAUUAAAAGAAGAGAAUCUAGGUUGCCUCCUAGUAGCGCUUGUUUAACGUCGCGAGCCUGACCCAAACCUGUUUAGCACUUGUCAGUAAGUGUAAUUCCUUCUAACACCCAUUAUAGAGCAGAAGUGAAAAAAAAAAUUGAUCGUCCUACCCCUAUCCCUAGGUGUUAUUGCUUAAUCAAGGAAUUACUCACCAGUUCAUGACAUUACUGUACAUCCCUGUAUCAAUAAAGAAAAACAACAGUUAUCAAAUGAGUUAAACGAUAAAAGCAUUAAGCACAGAUGAGAACCCAACAAUUAACAAUCAAAGCAUAUGGAAACCAUAUAAAUAAACCAGAGUUUCAAUAAAAGAGAGUAUCAAAAGAUUACAUUGUUUCCCUGAUGAAGGUUGAAAAACAGUUAUUUUCAUAUGUCAAUUUGGACAAAAUUACACCCUUUACUACUCGGAAUGAGCUUAGAAUCAAGCAAAACUCAAUAAAUGAGUUUGGAGAGAGUCAAAAGUUGUUUUUAGCGAUUUUAUGCUUGUUUUGCAUUGUUUUGUAGCUAAUUUGAGAAAAGUAAAGAAUGGAGUUCAAGAUACAGGUCGUUGACUCAAGAAAAGAGCAGAAAAAUGAAGAUUUGAAGAGUCGACGCACCGCCGGGCGGCACACUUAAACUGCCGGGCGGUCCAGGGCGAGGAGUAGGCACCUGGCGUUGGCGCUGGGCGGAUUUGCGAUUUGAGGGUUUAGUUCACCAUUUUCAUGGUGAAUCUAGAUGAAAAAUGGAUAAAGAAUGGAAGAGCAAACCCUAGAAAAGAUGAAAAGGAGCCUAAGCAUCCAAGAGAUCCUCUCUAGAGAGUGAAAUUAGGUCUUGCCGCCCGCUUCUGUAAAAAAGAAUGCAUCUAAACUUGCAAUAGGGCUAUUUAUAGGUGAGGAGCGCAACAGAAAACAGGCCCAAGCCCAACAGACAACCGCCUUGCGGAACUAGUGUGGCGCCCGGCGGUUUUCCUCAAAUCGCACUACCGCUCGGCGGCAAGGGUCUACCGCCCGGCAGUUUGCCUCUAAUCGCAAAUCCGCCCAGCGCCCUCGCCAGGUGCCUACUCCUCACCCUGGACUGCCCGGCGGUGGAAUUUGACGCCGGGCGGUGCGUCGACUCUUCAAUUCUUCAAUUUUCUUCUCUUUUCUUGAGUCUACGACCUUUAUCUUCAACUCCAUUCUUCACUUUCUCAAAAAUGCUACAAAACAAGCAUAAUAUCGCUAAAAAUAGCUUUUGACUCUCUACAGACUCAUUUAUUGAGUUUUGCUUGAUUCUAAGCUUAUUCUAAGUAGUAAAGGGUGUAAUUUGGUCUAAAAUGACAUAUGAAAAUAAUUGUUUUUCAACCUUCAUCAACACCCCAAACUUAGAACUUUGCUUGUCCUUAAGGAAACAAAAAAAAAACAACACACAAAACAAAGCUUGGCUUUAUACUAUUUCAUCCAAUGUUUCAACAUUCCCAAAGUACAUGACAAAGCUACUCAAUCCCAAAUCUUCAGUGAAAUCAAAAUAAGAUGCAUGCAUGCUUUCAAUCCAGAGAUUGCACAACAGAUGUUACACAUUAUGAAUGACCAAUCCACUAAGCAAAAAUGCACUCAUGAAAAUUAAAAGUUCAUACCAAGCAAGUGUUUUACUCAAUCAUUCAAGUGUUUAAGGUGACACUCCAACUCUCUAUUAUUCACAAGUCACAUGAAACAAAAUUGUCAUUCAUCUCAAAAACAUCUUUACAUGCAAAUGCCAUCAAAAGGACUUUUUCAAGGCUUGUAAUGAGGUUGGGUUAACAAGAAAAAUUGGUUUUUCUGGAAAACAAAAUCCUUGAGUUAAGAGAGCUAUCAUAAUAUUCAACAUUUAAGCACAACUCUCUUCCUCAGCAAUCUCUCUCAUUCCCAACUUUUUCCCUUUUUCUUUUUCAUUGAGCUCAUCUUCAUGCUUUUUCUUUUCUUUUUUUUUUCUCAUGCAUUUUUCUUUUUCAACAAUUGAGCUAAAUAUUUCUUAAUAGCUUUCCAAUUUGUCCCUUGCAACCCCAAACUUGAACCUUUUCAUCACAUACAGUUAAGCUCAUCCCAACUCAAGGUAAAGAAUUUCAAGACAAGGGUUCAUAUCCUGUUUAAGGCUAAGGUUCAAAAAGGGUAUUUCAAGCUCUUUGGGUGAAAAUUUGGCUAGAGAAGGGUUCUCAAAAAUGGCCUUGAUCGUAUGACAUUCACAUGCAAUUCCAUCAAUCAUCAAGAUUAAGGCAAUAUCAUUCAUGUUUUCCUAUGAACAAAGCAUACAACAAUAAAAACUCUGGAACUCAAUACCUCACACAACAUGCUUUCUCACACAAUAUCCAUUCAUAC
rnacentral:lncRNA from 1 species